rnacentral:rRNA from 1 species
GACGUAGGGCGCGAGCGUUGUCCGGAUUUAUUGGGCGUAAAGAGCUCGUAGGCGGCUUGUUGCGUCGACCGUGAAAACCCGGGGCUCAACUUCGGGCUUGCGGUCGAUACGGGCGGGCUAGAGUUCGGUAGGGGAGACUGGAAUUCCUGGUGUAGCGGUGAAAUGCGCAGAUAUCAGGAGGAACACCGGUGGCGAAGGCGGAUCUCUGGGCCAUUACUGACGCUGAGGAGCGAAAGCGUGGGGAGCGAACAGG